rnacentral:tRNA from 1 species
GGGGAAUUAGCUCAGCUGGGAGAGCGCCUGCUUUGCACGCAGGAGGUCGCCGGUUCGAUCCCGGCAUUCUCCACCA